GACGAACGCUGGCGGCGUGCUUAACACAUGCAAGUCGAACGGAAAGGCCCUGCUUUUGUGGGGUGCUCGAGUGGCGAACGGGUGAGUAACACGUGAGUAACCUGCCCUUGACUUUGGGAUAACUUCAGGAAACUGGGGCUAAUACCGGAUAGGAGCUCCUGCUGCAUGGUGGGGGUUGGAAAGUUUCGGCGGUUGGGGAUGGACUCGCGGCUUAUCAGCUUGUUGGUGGGGUAGUGGCUUACCAAGGUUUUGACGGGUAGCCGGCCUGAGAGGGUGACCGGCCACAUUAGGACGGGGCUACGGCCCAGACUCCUACGGGAGGCAGCAGUGGGGAAUAUUGCACAAUGGGCGGAAGCCUGAUGCAGCAACGCCGCGUGCGGGAUGACGGCCUUCGGGUUGUAAACCGCUUUCGCCUGUGACGAAGCGUGAGUGACGGUAAUGGGUAAAGAAGCACCGGCUAACUACGUG
rnacentral:rRNA from 1 species